rnacentral:rRNA from 1 species
CCUACGGGGUGCUGCAGUGGGGAAUAUUGCACAAUGGGCGCAAGCCUGAUGCAGCCAUGCCGCGUGUGUGAAGAAGGCCUUCGGGUUGUAAAGCACUUUCAGCGGGGAGGAAGGCGGUGAGGUUAAUAACCUCAUCGAUUGACGUUACCCGCAGAAGAAGCACCGGCUAACUCCGUGCCAGCAGCCGCGGUAAUACGGAGGGUGCAAGCGUUAAUCGGAAUUACUGGGCGUAAAGCGCACGCAGGCGGUCUGUCAAGUCGGAUGUGAAAUCCCCGGGCUCAACCUGGGAACUGCAUUCGAAACUGGCAGGCUAGAGUCUUGUAGAGGGGGGUAGAAUUCCAGGUGUAGCGGUGAAAUGCGUAGAGAUCUGGAGGAAUACCGGUGGCGAAGGCGGCCCCCUAGACAAAGACUGACGCUCAGGUGCGAAAGCGUGGGGAGCAAACAGGAUUAGAUACCCGAGUAGUC